UACGUAGGUGGCAAGCGUUGUUCGGAAUUAUUGGGCGUAAGGGCGCGUAGGCGGUUUGGUAAGUCAGCUGUGAAAGCCCGGGGCUCAACCCCGGAGGGUCGGCUGAUACUGCUAGGCUAGAGUACGGAAGAGGUAGCGGAAUUCCCGGUGAGCGGUGAAAUGCGUAGAUAUCGGUAGGAACACCAGUGGGCGAAGGCGGUCUCCCUGGGGCAUUCUUGACGCUG
rnacentral:rRNA from 1 species